AUACGGAGGGUGCGAGCGUUAAUCGGAAUUACUGGGCGUAAAGCGUGCGUAGGCGGUUGAUUUAGUCAGAUGUGAAAGCCCCGGGCUCAACCUGGGAACUGCAUUUGAAACUGGUCAACUGGAGUAUGGUAGAGGGGGGUAGAAUUUCUGGUGUAGCGGUGAAAUGCGUAGAUAUCAGAAGGAAUACCGAUGGCGAAGGCAGCCCCCUGGACCAAUACUGACGCUGAGGUACGAAAGCGUGGGGAGCAAACAGGAUUAGAAACCCCGGUAGUCC
rnacentral:rRNA from 1 species